rnacentral:rRNA from 1 species
AACGAACGCUGGCGGCAUGCCUAACACAUGCAAGUCGAACGAGGCCUUCGGGUCUAGUGGCGCACGGGUGCGUAACGCGUGGGAACCUGCCCUUAGGUUCGGAAUAACUCCCCGAAAGGGGUGCUAAUACCGGAUAAUGUCUUCGGACCAAAGAUUUAUCGCCUUUGGAUGGGCCCGCGUUGGAUUAGCUAGUUGGUAGGGUAAAAGCCUACCAAGGCGACGAUCCAUAGCUGGUCUGAGAGGAUGAUCAGCCACACUGGGACUGAGACACGGCCCAGACUCCUACGGGAGGCAGCAGUGGGGAAUAUUGGACAAUGGGCGAAAGCCUGAUCCAGCAAUGCCGCGUGAGUGAUGAAGGCCUUAGGGUUGUAAAGCUCUUUUACCCGGGAUGAUAAUGACAGUACCGGGAGAAUAAGCUCCGGCUAACUCCGU